rnacentral:rRNA from 1 species
AAGCUUGCUCCCCGCUGACGAGCGGCGGACGGGUGAGUAAUGCAUAGGAAACUGCCCAGUAGUGGGGGAUAGCCCGGGGAAACCCGGAUUAAUACCGCAUACGCCCUUUGGGGGAAAGCAGGGGAUCUUCGGACCUUGCGCUAUUGGAUGUGCCUAUGUCGGAUUAGCUAGUUGGUGGGGUAAGAGCCUACCAAGGCGACGAUCCGUAGCUGGUCUGAGAGGAUGAUCAGCCACAUCGGGACUGAGACACGGCCCGAACUCCUACGGGAGGCAGCAGUGGGGAAUAUUGGACAAUGGGGGCAACCCUGAUCCAGCCAUGCCGCGUGUGUGAAGAAGGCUUUCGGGUUGUAAAGCACUUUCAGUGAGGAGGAAAACCUUACGACUAAUACUCGUGAGGCUUGACGUUACUCACAGAAGAAGCACCGGCUAACUCCGUGCCAGCAGCCGCGGUAAUACGGAGGGUGCAAGCGUUAAUCGGAAUUACUGGGCGUAAAGCGCGCGUAGGUGGUUUGAUAAGCGAGAUGUGAAAGCCCCGGGCUCAACCUGGGAACGGCAUUUCGAACUGUCAGGCUAGAGUAUGGUAGAGGAGUGUGGAAUUUC